rnacentral:lncRNA from 1 species
UUUUUAAAAAGCAAUCUUUACAACACAAGUUUGGUACCAUAUCUUGAGUCCAAUUUCCGAAAUACAAGAAAUUAAUACAAAUACAAGAGAAUUGCUCGCGUAAUACAAAUAUGUUAGGUUUAUGCAUGAUUCCGUACUUCAUAUUAAUUACAUUUCAUAUUCAUAAAGCUUUGAAUCUAUUCAAUGCAUAACGGACAAAAUAAAUAUCACAAAAUAAUUGUAAAAUAGAGUUCAUUUUUGCAUAGUAUCAAGAUCCAGCCAAGUCCCCCUCGCAUCGCUCUCUGCCAGACGCAGUUUAAUCAAUACAAAUGCCGCAGUGCGGAGACGCGAACUCACACUGCGCACCGUGCUUUAUAAAGUGACGAGGGCUUCUCUGGUCCAUUAUUCUCACUCGAGCUCUGAAGCUGUGCAGACGUGUUAACAUAUAGUCUCAUAAAGUGAAAAAUUUUUCAGAUUGUUUAAGAUUAUUCCAUAAUAUAAUUAAUAUUAACAUCAAAUACGCACGUCGUCAUCGUUACUGUAACUGAAUUUGAGGACAUUCAACAUGACUGCACUUCGCUCCACUCAUCACUUUAAAUUCCAGCGUGGCUUCAAAAGAGAUAUUAGCUAUUUCAAGAUUAUGGGUAUAAGUGAAUACCUGAAAUAUUUAUAUAAAUAAUCAAGAUCAGCAACAAUAUUAAUCAAAAGAAAUGAAUGAUCACGAGUACUCACUGUUGGAACAAAAUUGAUUAAUUAAAUAAACGUAUUAACAACGGAAAGAUUGAAAGGAGCUUGGAAGGAUGGAAAGAAGCUUGAAGAAGAGUUUUCUCUUGGCCUUACUUCACUUCCCGUUACAAACGUUUACAUCUACCUGACAAAAAUCCUAUUUAUUUAUACUUUACCAUAAUUUUAUUCACUCAAAAUAUGAGUGUAGUUGAACAUCGUACACAGACUGUUUGAAAUUAAACCCUGCAGUACAUGUCUGUCUGUGUUCUGUCUGUCAGCGAAUAGAACAAAUCUACAGAAAUCUUCAAUUACUAUUUCAAGAAAUUUAUCAUUUACUAAACAUACUAGAUCCCAACUAAUAUUCGGAUGUAGCACAGACACUCGCUUACUGGAUGUCUUGUACAACAGUAUACUAUUAUAAUAGAUUCAAACGGCCUCGUUCAAAAAUUUUUUUUCGAAGUAAUCCUUACCGUGAACAAAUAGCAUACUUAAAAAGUUAUCUGUUAUCGCUUCCAUUAGUACGGUAGUUUUUAUGAAUUCUCGUUUAUUUCAUAUAUCGUGGAUAACUUACCUUACAUAACGCUCAUAAUUUCUAUAGGCAAAGUGUUAGGAGCCGUGCUGUCUCCGGCUUUAAAGAAUAGAACAGACCCAUUUCGUUCCGUGGGUGUCGUAAAAGGCGACUAAGGAUAACAAACCAGAUCCGAUAUCAACAUCUAGGAUCUCCGUGCGGUUUCGGAUGAGAAUAGAACCGACCCUUUAUUGUUGUCAGGGUGUCGUAAAAGGCGACUAAUGACUAAGUGGAAAACAACAUCUCAUCCACCAAUUCGCGUAACGCGGAUUGCGGUAUCGAUACAGGAUUCAGAUCUUGUCAACCUUGCCAGUCACGAUUUUAAGACCUAAGGUGAGAUCGAAUGUUAUGUUACUCUCGAAUGGCCACCCGUUAGCAUGCUGGGUAUGUGGGGAACUACCGCCGUGGUAAUAGCGGCAUUUUUCAGUUACCACAACGUUAACCAUUAUCUACAUACAAUUUCUAAACAUGCGUCGUGCAUUAAAGAUUUCACCAGUUGAUGUGGAUUUGAACAGGUUAGGAUAGUCGCAUUACUAGUCAUUGAACUACGCUAUUGACGACGAUUACCUAACACGUUGAUACCGAUAAAUUAUAGGCCGUGCUGUAUCCGGCUUACAGAAUAGACCAGCCCCGUCUCAUUCCUUGGGUGUCGUAAAAGGCGACUAAAGGAAAAACCAGAUCCGAUACAACAUCUAGGAUCUCCGUGCGGUUUCGGAUAAGAAUAGAACCGACCCUACACUGUCUAAGGGUGUCGUAAAAGGCGACUAAUGACUUUAAGGGGGAAACCAACAUCGAAUCGGUGAAUUCGUGCGACGCGGAUUGGGGUAUAAUGUUUCCGUGUUGAUUUUUAAAUCUUCAGUUUGUAUUAUUAAGUACUUAUAAUUCUAUUAGAAGCCCUAUCUCGAUAUUAUAUUGUUUCGAAUUAAGUGUUUAAUUUCUUAUGUUUUAACCAUUAUAACCCUGUCCGAAUUGCGAGCGCUCACUCGCAUGUCUGCGAUGAAGCCGAAUCUACAUUUACGCUCAAGGCGAGGACAGGGUCCAGUUGGGUGAUUCUAACGCAAAUAGUUAGUUCAUGCCACUGUACGUAGGACGAGCCCCGCGGGGCUCCCUCGCGACUCUUCUGGACUUGAAAGCUAUCUGUAUCUCCCUUUUACUAGGCGUAUAUGAGCCUGGGCCACAUUUCUUUGACUCUCCUUUUGACUGGCAGAGGAUUGAGACAGAAGUGUGGUAGAAUGCGUUAUGAAAUGUUCCACAACGAUACGGUUUGUGUGCUAUCUGUUUGCUAUUCAAGGGCGCUCUGAAUGAUCUCUGAAUUCGCGGGCUUAUAUUUACACUUGUCUUGUGCAGAGAUAAACAACAUCCUGCACAUUGACGACCGUAAUGUGGAAUGUUACUGUUACUCGUCACGAAGUGAGUACCCGUGGAUGUGAUAGAUUCGAUACCUUAUAGACGAAAAUGUUAGUUGUGUUUUACUAACUUUAACUCAUUGUUUUCUAUGAAAACCCUAUUCCUAAUCGUUCAGUUACAUUUUGACCCCGUUAUAUAAUUUAGUCUCACUGUUUGAUUUCGUUUUCAUCUGUAAGGAGUAUUUGAACUAUCCGAGAGGCCGCGAUGUGUACUCUUGACGUGAUUUUGUUAAUGUUUGCAUAAUUUUAAUGGUGUUGAUGUUACAAAUGGAUGCAUGUUACGUUUGAUGUUACAUACUAUUUCCUUCGUUGUUUAUUGUAUUUUGUUUUAUUCUCGAAUACGUAUUCAUCUAAUUGCGUUUGUAAUUUAAGGGAUGGUUUAAUAUUAAUUUUGAUUCGAUAUAAUUUUCAAAUUAUAACGUUUACUUUGGACUUUCCAAGUUAUGUAUGAUAAUUUCAAGUUCGUAUUUUAAGUUCUUUUAGUUCGGGGUGUAAGUGGUUCUACCUAGACCUUCUGAGCCAAAGCCAACCUCUCCUGCACGCGGCGCACCCUGCCGACCAACAAACGAGGCUCUGGCGAGGCGUGGUCGUCACGGAACCACCGUCGCCUACAUCGUAGACGACUCUGGCUCCGACCAUAAAUUUCCAACGACGACACUUUGAAUAACGACUACGUCUCUAACAUUCAGUGUCGUAUUUACUAAUGUAAGACUUCGCAGUCAUACUUACCCCAUUUCAUUUCUAUAUUAGACUAGUAAAGCACUUCCAGUAAUAUGGGUUACUGUCUAAGGCUUUAGGUGUAGAUUUUAUUCUAAUCGUCAUUAUAUGUGUAAAUGUAUCUCCAAAAUACGGCAGCGAUACAUUAAUUAAUCUAGGUUAUUGUCUCAGGUCUCUGGUGUCAACGUUUCUCCAAAGAACACCGGCGAUACGCGAAUCGUUAUCAAUUAUGAUUAUUAUAAUUGAUUUAAGCACAGUACUUUUAAACCGUUUCGUUAUUGUGGGUGCGAUUCCAUGAUAAACGUGGAUUUUGAUGAGGCGACUCAUUCGAUAACUCGUAGCUGUAAGUUAGAUUAAGGUUGAAUGUAUAGGACUUAAUACUCGAUACGUCAAAAACCCUAUACCAUUCGCAGUAUUUCAAAAAGACCUCAGUGGUAAAGCACUUUCAAUUAGCACAUAACUCAGCGUUAGCAUUCAAAUGACUUUCCGUCAUUUACAUAAGCUAAACAGUUUAUGCAAUGUAAUCGGACGUAUUUCUCAUUGAGAUAUUUGCUCUCGAAGUACGAUUACGUGUUUAAUCAACUUAGUAUUAUAUUCCAUUUACUUACAUUUUUUAUAUGUGUGUCUUGUGUCCUAUCUUAAUCUUGAAAUAAAAUUGGUGUGUAGUAGUCAUAAA